rnacentral:rRNA from 1 species
CCGCCGCGGUAAAACCAGCUCUUCAGUGGUCGGGAUAAUUAUUGGGCUUAAAGUGUCCGUAGCCGGUUUAGUAAGUUCCUGGUAAAACCGGGCAGCUUAACUGUCCGUAUGCUAGGAAUACUGCUAUGCUAGAGGGCGGGAGAGGUCUGAGGUACUACAGGGGUAGGGGUGAAAUCUUAUAAUCCUUGUAGGACCACCAGUGGCGAAAGCGUCAGACUGGAACGCGCCUGACGGUGAGGGACGAAAGCCAGGGGAGCGAACCGGAUUAGAUACCCGGGUAGUCCUGGCCGUAAACGAUGCAUACUAGGCAAUGGUGCGGCCAUGAGCCGCAUCAGUACCGUAGGGAAACCGUUAAGUGUGCCGCCUGGGAAGUACGGUCGCAAGGCUAAAACUUAAAGGAAUUGGCGGGGGAGCACCACAAGGGGUGAAGCCUGCGGUUCAAUUGGACUCAACGCCGGGAAACUUACCAGGGGAGACAGCAGAAUGACAGUCAGGUUGACGACCUUACUCGACGAGCUGAGAGGAGGUGCAUGGCCGUCGCCAGUUCGUGCUGUGAGGUAUCCUGUUAAGUCAGGCAACGAACGAGAUCCGCGCCUUUAUUUGCCAUCAAGAAGUCACGACUUCGUUGGGAACACUAAAGGGACCGCCGUCGAUAAGACGGAGGAAGGAGCGGGCAAAGGCAGGUCAGUAUGCCCCGAAACCCCUGGGCUACACGCGGGCUGCAAUGGUGCGAACAAUGGGCCGUAACUCCGAAAGGAGAAACCAAUCCCGAAAUCGCAUCUCAGUGGGGAUUGUCGACUGUAACUCGUUGACAUGAACGUGGAAUCCCUAGUAAUCGCGUGUCACCAUCGCGCGGUGAAUACGUCUCUGCUC